CCAUUUUACCCCUGCGUUUAAUGCAUGUUCCUUCGUGCCCAUCCAACUUCUGAACGCCUCCUCCCGCCCCCAUCGCUUCCAUCUACGUUCGCCUUCUCCCCGCCAGACCACUCUGUCUCCGCCUACCGCGCUCGACCCUGGCGAUGCUGGCCCGCAACCCCAUCGCUCCCCUUCUACUUUCGCCUUCUUCCCGCAAGGCACUCUGUUUACAGACUCAACGCUCGCCCUCACCUUGCGGCCCCGUUGGCCAUUGGAACCAACGCCUGAGACCCACGAACAACAGAACGUCGCCGAUGAAUUCGUACUACAGUCACCAGCCUCACCCUCCCCUAUCCGACUCUCUCUAUACAAGUUGCGGAUGAAUCGCUCAGUUUCGGUGCCCUUGCUCUCCUGUGCAGGGAUAACUAAAAGCCAAGGAUGAACCAUCCUAAUCUAUACAGGACAAUGCCUGUGGUAUCUUGUAGAGAACUUGACGGGCUGGUACAAGUUGUCUUACUGAGACUGGAAGAACCGAUAGAAGUUUUAGCUCUUUUUUCACCUAACAUGGAAUAAAAGGUAAAUACGACAUUGCGUAUGUGAUUGGCACCAUGAUAUCGUGAGCAAUGGCAUUCCUUAGAUAUCUAAUGAUAUGAAGUGUAAAAGAGUUGUCUUUUUUCCUGUCCUUAAUUCGGAGUUGAGCAUGUUGAAACAUCAAUGGGUUUAUAUGCCAAUGCUCGAGCCGUUUGUUCCCCAAGCUCUCCCAUGAUUCCUCCUCAAAUGUGGACACUGUUGUGGAUCAUGACCAAAUCAGCUUAAGAAAAUGGAUGAUAUCAACCUUAAAGGGUCAUUAUGCUGGCGAAGCUGGGACUUGGAAGUCGACAGAAGCUGUUCCAGUGAUGACUAUGAUGACUUCUCGGACCCCUUUGACAGCAGUAGCACCAAGAAUGCUAUCAUGGACUGGUACAUUCGCAUAGACUGGUUUAGGUGGUGAAGGGUAAGUUCCUCAUCUCUUCUGCGUCUCUCUCUCUCUUCCCCUCGUUAAUCUUUCAUUAGGUUCCCUUUUUGAAAGGAUGAAGCAUUGAAUGAUCAGAUAACAAAAGACAUAACGCGUUGGAGAAUCUAAAGUUCAUAUAAUUAAUGAGUAUACGAAUCUCUUGGACUACAUGCAAUUAGCUUGUAGAUUUUUUUUCUUAAAAUAGUGCCUAAGUAUGUUAAAAGAGAAAAUUCACGCUGGAAGAGUUUUUUUUCCUUAGUGGACCGAUCUGACUUGAAUUAGAUUACUUAAGGCCAGUUGAGCUUCCAGAUACUAAGGUGCAAUCGAAAAUAAAAAUGGCAAGACACAAAAACAGCCGUCGGAUGCUUUCUUGCUCCACUGUGGAUCAUCUGCGGCACCGACAGAAUUACCAAGUAGACUCUUGAAUUUAACUUCUCUUCACAAGCAAUUCCUAUUGUAUUAUGCACCUAAUUUUCCGCAGAUAUAAAAUUCAGGGACACUUUUCAGAAGUGCAAGAAAACCAAGAAGUUGCUACAUAAUCAUUUAGCAAUAGAGAGGCAGUAAUAUUGAGUUCGAUCAUUCCGAGUCAUCACAAGAAUUGAACAAGAGAUGAUCCAUCUUAUGUUUAUGCAUGGAAUAGUGAAAUCAAGGCAACUAUGUUACUAUCUACACACACACACACACACACACACACACACACACACAUAUUUGUAUCCUGGGAGGCUCUUUAUUCCCGGUUGUAGGCUAAUGUUAUUUUGGCAUCCCAAUUGCGACUUUUCAGCCACAAUCCUCUAAUUACUUAUUAAAAGAAAAUAAAAACAAGAAUCCUCCAACCAAUCUCCCUAUAUCCAACCGGUAUAUCUUUCACUGCCCUCAUUUCUUAAAUGCAAUGAUUAUUCACCCUUAACACCCUUAAACAACUCACUUUUUAAUUCCUGAGACUAUCCACUUCGUGCCCUUCCUCCCCCUUCAGAUAGACAAUGCAUCUUUUCCUAUUGUGCUAUACAAUUAAUUCUUCCUUUGUUCAAGGGCGCACUUUGAUGAUUGAAGGAAAGUUUCAAUUAUUUUAUCUGUACAUUUCAAUUGCUCUCUCCAUUACACCAUGUUUCUAUAAUUGAUGGUUACUUCUUGCUUACUUCAUGAAUGGGCCAUGUUCUAUAUCCUGGACUUCGACAAUCAGACGAACUUUUGGUGAAUCGUCUCUUGCAUCCUUUCCCCUCUAUCUCAUGUAAUGCUAUCUGAUUUCCUUUAAU